GAGUAGCAUGGCAGACGGGUGAGGAGCGCGUAUCUGACUGGACUCAGGCUGGGGGAUAGUCCCUCGAAAGGGGGUUGAAUACCGCAUGUGCUCGGUGCUGUGAGGGCAUCGAGGAAAGUUGGCCUCUGCGGGCACGCUGAUGGCCUGAGACAGGGAUGCGUCCUAUUAGCUAGCUGGUGGGGUAAGGGCCUACCAGGGCGACGAUGGGUAGCUGGUCUGAGAGGAUGAUCAGCCACACUGGGACUGCGACACGGCCCAGACUCCUACGGGAGGCAGCAGUGGGGAAUUUUGCGCAAUGGGCGCAAGCCUGACGCAGCAACGCCGCGUGCAUGACGACGCCUUUCGAGGUGUAAAGUGCUGUCGACCGGGACGAAGGGGCGAGGGUGAACAGCUUUCGCGCAUGACGGUACCGGUGGAGGAAGCCCCGGCUAACUCCGUGCCAGCAGCCGCGGUACGACGGAGGGGGCGAGCGUUGUUCGGACUUACUGGGCGCUCAGCGCGCGUAGGCGGUGCUGCAUGUGGUGCGUGAUAGCCCUCGGCUUAGCCGGGGACGGGCGUGCCACACUGUUGGACUGGAGUGCCGGACGGGGAUGCGGAAUUCCUGGUGGAGCGGUGCAAUGCGUAGAGAUCAGGAUGAACGUCGGUGGCGAAGGCGGCUCUCCUGGACCGGACACUGACUCUGAGGUCUGUCAGCUUUGGGAUCGAACGGGAUUAGAUACCCCGGUAGUCCACGCCGUAAACGAUGGGUACUAGGUGUGGGGCUUGUGAUGAGGCCCGUGCCGGAGCUAACGCAGUAAGUACCCCGCCUGGGGAGUACGAUCGCAAGGCUGAAACUCAAAGGAAUUGACGGGGGCCCGCACAAGCGGUGGAGCAUGUGGUUUAAUUCGACGCAACGCGCAGAACCUUACCCAGGUUUGACAUGCACCGGCACAGCGAGGAGAGUCGCUGGCCCGUUUCGGGACGGUGCACAGGUGCUGCAUGGCUGUCGUCAGCUCGUGUCGUGAGAUGUUGGGUUAAGUCCCGCAACGAGCGCAACCCCUGCCCGUAGUUGCCAACAGGUGAUGCUGGGGACUCUACGGGGACUAUCGGUGUGAAACCGGAGGAAGGUGGGGAUGACGUCAAGUCCUCAUGGCCCUUACGCCUGGGGCGACACACGUGCUACAAUGGGGCGGACAACGGGGGGCGACCCUGCGAGGGGGAGCGAAUCCCUGAAACCGUGUCUCAGUUCGGAUUGGAGUCUGCAACUCGACUCCAUGAAGGUGGAA
rnacentral:rRNA from 1 species